rnacentral:rRNA from 1 species
AGAGUUUGAUCCUGGCUCAGAAUCAACGCUGGCGGCGCGCUUAACACAUGCAAGUCGAACGAGAAAGCCGGGGCAACCUGGUGAGUAAAGUGGCGUACGGGUGAGUAACACGUGGAUCAUCUACCUUCUAGUGGGGAAUACCGUUGGGAAACCGACGACAAUACCGCAUGAGCUCGAGAGAGGAAAGCGGCUUUGUGAAAACAGAGUCGCGCUGGAAGAGGAGUCCGCGGCUGAUUAGCUAGUUGGUGAGGUAACGGCCCACCAAGGCUUUGAUCAGUAGCCGGCCUGAGAGGGCACACGGCCACACUGGCACCGAAACACGGGCCAGACUCCUACGGGAGGCAGCAGUGGGGAAUCUUGCACAAUGGGGGAAACCCUGAUGCAGCGACGCCGCGUGAGCGAUGAAGCCCUUCGGGGUGUAAAGCUCUUUCGGCAGG